rnacentral:rRNA from 1 species
GUGGGGAAUCUUCCGCAAUGGACGAAAGUCUGACGGAGCGACGCCGCGUGAGUGAAGAAGGCCUUCGGGUCGUAAAGCUCUGUCAUCAGGGACGAACGGCCGGUGGAGUGGAAAGCCACCGGAUUGACGGUACCUGAGAAGGAAGCCACGGCUAACUACGUGCCAGCAGCCGCGGUAAUACGUAGGUGGCAAGCGUUGUCCGGAAUUAUUGGGCGUAAAGCGCGCGCAGGUGGGAUCUUAAGUCCAUUUUUAAAGUUCGGAGCUCAACUCCGUGAUGGGAUGGAAACUGGGAUUCUUGAGUACCGUAGAGGAAAGCGGAAUUCCCCGUGUAGCGGUGAAAUGCGUAGAUAUGGGGAGGAACACCAGUGGCGAAGGCGGCUUUCUGGACGGUGUCUGACGCUGAGGCGCGAAAGCUAGGGGAGCGAACGGGAUUAGAUACCCUUGUAGUCC